UGCAAGUCGAGCGAACUGAUUAGAAGCUUGCUUCUAUGACGUUAGCGGCGGACGGGUGAGUAACACGUGGGCAACCUGCCUGUAAGACUGGGAUAACUUCGGGAAACCGAAGCUAAUACCGGAUAGGAUCUUCUCCUUCAUGGGAGAUGAUUGAAAGAUGGUUUCGGCUAUCACUUACAGAUGGGCCCGCGGUGCAUUAGCUAGUUGGUGAGGUAACGGCUCACCAAGGCAACGAUGCAUAGCCGACCUGAGAGGGUGAUCGGCCACACUGGGACUGAGACACGGCCCAGACUCCUACGGGAGGCAGCAGUAGGGAAUCUUCCGCAAUGGACGAAAGUCUGACGGAGCAACGCCGCGUGAGUGAUGAAGGCUUUCGGGUCGUAAAACUCUGUUGUUAGGGAAGAACAAGUACGAGAGUAACUGCUUGUACCUUGACGGUACCUAACCAGAAAGCCACGGCUAACUACGUGCCAGCAGCCGCGGUAAUACGUAGGUGGCAAGCGUUAUCCGGAAUUAUUGGGCGUAAAGCGCGCGCAGGCGGUUUCUUAAGUCUGAUGUGAAAGCCCACGGCUCAACCGUGGAGGGUCAUUGGAAACUGGGGAACUUGAGUGCAGAAGAGAAAAGCGGAAUUCCACGUGUAGCGGUGAAAUGCGUAGAGAUGUGGAGGAACACCAGUGGCGAAGGCGGCUUUUUGGUCUGUAACUGACGCUGAGGCGCGAAAGCGUGGGGAGCAAACAGGAUUAAAUACCCUGGUAGUCCACGCCGUAAACGAUGAGUGCUAAGUGUUAGAGGGUUUCCGCCCUUUAGUGCUGCAGCUAACGCAUUAAGCACUCCGCCUGGGGAGUACGGUCCAAGACUGAAACUCAAAGGAAUUGACGGGGGCCCGCACAAACGGUGGAACAUGUGGUUUAAUUCGAAACAGCGCGAAAACCUUACCGGGUCUUGACAUCCUCUGACAACUCUGAAAAUGAAGCGUUCCCCUUC
rnacentral:rRNA from 1 species